GCAAAAAUAUAAUUAUUAAUUUAUUUAAAAAAUGAUAAUAUAUAUUUAUUUAAUAAAAAUAUUAAAAGGUUAAUUAUAUAAACCCAAAUAUUAUAUCCCUUAUCCUAAAUUUUUUAUCCCUUAAACCCUAAAAUUUUCUUAGAAAUUUAUCUCAUGAUUAUCAUCACUAUUGAUUAAAAAAAUAAAUAAAAAAAAUAAAAUACUUAAUUUUUUAUGAAAAUAAAUGAUAUAUAUUUAUAUGACACACCCCUUUGAUUGAAAAAAAAAUCUAACUAUUUUGAUUUAAGAAAGUAAACCCAUAGUGAUAUUGUAGUAUAUAAUUAUUUUAACAAUUAUGUUAAAAGUUUAAUUAUAUAAACCCAAAGACCAUAUUCCCCCUAAUUGUGAGAAAAAAAUAGUCUUAUUUAUAGGACAAAUUAGGUCACUACAAAUAAAAAUGAAUUAAUUGUGAUAAAGCACCGUCAAUCAGAAAUCAGAUCUAGAAAACUAUUUUUUAUUAAAUAACAGGGAAAAAAAUAAAAAAUAAAUAUUUUAAAAAUAACUAUUAAAUAAAAAAUGAAAAA
rnacentral:lncRNA from 1 species